UACGGAGGGAGCUAGCGUUGUUCGGAAUUACUGGGCGUAAAGCGCACGUAGGCGGCUUUGUAAGUCAGAGGUGAAAGCCUGGAGCUCAACUCCAGAACUGCCUUUGAGACUGCAUCGCUUGAAUCCAGGAGAGGUGAGUGGAAUUCCGAGUGUAGAGGUGAAAUUCGUAGAUAUUAGGAAGAACACCAGUGGCGAAGGCGGCUCACUGGUCCGGUACUGACGCUGAGGUGCGAAAGCGUGGGGAGCAAACAGG
rnacentral:rRNA from 1 species